UUAUCUCUGUAGAGUCUGCAUAUCAAUAAGCGGAGGAAAAGAAACUAACUAGGAUUCCCCUUAGUAACGGCGAGUGAAGCGGGAAGAGCUCAAAUUUGAAAUCUUCAAGGUUCUACCUUGACGAAUUGUAGUUUAAAGAAGUGUUUUCGGUUAGAGGAGUUUAGGUAAAAGUUCUUUGGAAGUAGGACAUCAUAGAGGGUGAGAAUCCCGUAUUUGACCAUUUCUUCCUAGCUUUGUGAUACACUUUCAAAGAGUCGGAUUGUUUGGGAAUGCAGUCCAAAAUGGGUGGUAAAUUUCAUCUAAAGCUAAAUAUUGGCGAGAGACCGAUAGCGAACAAGUACCGUGAGGGAAAGAUGAAAAGAACUUUGAAAAGAGAGUUAAACAGUACGUGAAAUUGUCAAAAGGGAAGCGUUUGACACCAGUGUUGUUUUCUCGAAAAUCAAUUAAAAAUGGCCUGGAUUUUGUGUUGUAUUGACUUUAUCAGCUUUCUGCACUUUUUUCUUGUCUUUUUUAAUGCACUUUUCGUUUAACAAGUCAACAUCAAUUUCUUUUGUUGUAAAAGGGUACGAGGAAGGUGGCUUUCUUUUCGGAGAAAGUGUUUAUAGCCUUGUGCCUCUGCAAUCGGAGAGAUUGAGGUCUGCAGCGUAGAUCCUUCGGGGUUAGAUACAUUUGUGCUAAGUUAUAGCUUUUCAUAGACAACUUGUUGACUAUGUUUAGUCUUGUAGCUUACUCGCUUAUGCUAUUUUACCUACGCUUAGGAUGUUGACGCAUGAGAUAUACGC
rnacentral:rRNA from 1 species